UAUUGCUAUGCUAAGACUGGGACUUAAACUAGUGACCUCCUGAAGCUUAAUGUGCUGAGCCACACACACCCCUGAAACAGCCCCCUCCUAAAUGAACCCAUCUCACAGUUUCUUCACAAUUCCCUAUGAUAAAUAUAAUUAUAUUAGACGCUUCGUUUUACCUAGGAUGACUCAUCACCUAACGCAUCACACUUCAGGGACUCUAACCCCGCCCCUUCUGUGUGUGGCUGUGACAUGCUCAUUGUGUUCCUCCGACCCAAUCCAAAAACAUCCCCUUAGAUGAUCUGCUGUCUCUGAAUGGCUUGCAAAUUUCCGGAGAGAUGGUACAAUAAUGAGAAAGAAAGAAAAAUUAUAUUGGUUAUAGACUCACUUUAACUUUCGCCCAAUUAAAGGCUGUUCAGUCCUUUUUUUCCAGAUGAAUAACAUUUAAGUUCUUCAGCUCUGCGAUUCCCGGAUGUCAUCUAUCGCAUACUUAAAGCUAAACACCCCUUUCUUAGUUAAAUAUGUAAAUGCGCUGAAUUCCCGGAGCUCGUCGGCCUUACUCACUCUUUCGAGAAAAGGGUUUUAAUCGUGUUUUAUUAUUUUUCCUUUAUGAAUGCUUUGAAUAACAUACAGCAGGAAGGCAGGUCUUGCCAAUCCCGACGCCCAGUCUCCAUGGGCGGAGUUUGGGGGGCUGGCAUUGCACAUGUUGUGCACUUUGCACCAUUGCAUGGUCGGCCUGUUGGAAUCCUAUAGGUAGACAAAAUGAUAGUUUACGUGUGCAUCAGAUACAUGCGUUAACAUAUAUAAGGAGGGAAAACCGAACAAAUGGCAGAAACUUCAGAAACGGUUCUUGAAAUGCACGAAUCGCUUUUCGGAAUUUAAAAGUAUAUAUAGGGACGUGAUCAUACAUAUAAACUUAAACAUCUCCGAUUAAAGGUGUUGAUAAAUCUGGUCUGCUUUUUCCCCAGCAUAAAACUAUUAGGUACGGACGUGAUAUCCCCAUAAUCUACAACAUCCAAGGUAAUAUUGUAUAUGCUGCCCCACAAAAUCAAUGUACUUUGAUUUAAACACACUUACGUGCACAUAGGCCUACUCUGAAUACAACAGAAUUGUAUCCUAAAAUAAUACUGCAUCGCAUUUAACCUGAACACCAAAGCUGAAGUUAUUUGCUUUGUAAUUUGAGCGUUUUCUGUGGCUAUCAUUGUCUCGUAAAAUUAUUAAUCUUGUCCCCUUUUGCCGUCACCUUGGCCCUUCCGAUGGGGGAAUGGGGGGUCCCGCCAAAUGCCUGCCAUUAAAGCCCCCUCCUCUUCCUCUUCUCUAAGCUAAGCGGGGAUCCGGUCACAGCUGUAACCUGCCUCUCGGCUGUGACACGUUGUCGUGGUAACCGGAGCCUCGUGGGGUGGGGGGUGGUGGUGGUAUUAUUUUAGUUUAUACCACCGCACUGUCGAAUUCUACAUUCUCAAGGGGGUUGAUUAAUUUUCUAUAACCGCACACGUAGUGCCGGCCAGGCAAAUCACAGUAAUAAAUCAAUGCGCGAUUAUAAUCUUUUAUUCUAACAUUAUUUAACAGAAACUAUAAAAGGGAAGAGUCACUUAGACACAACGCACUUAGACAUCAGAAGUGCUUCAGGCUGAGGACCAGUAUCUGUGGUCAGUGAUUAAAUACCAAAAUGAUUUACUGAUGUAAUGCACUUGUGAUACAGUCAUAUUUUACAGUUCUGUUUCACCUGCCUAAACAAUGUGGUACACAUAGUCAGUAAACGCUAAGUAAGUCCAGGUUUACCUAUAAUGCUGCUGAAUUCCAGGUGGCACCUGGAGCUAAAUCAAUAAAGUAAUGACUGUGGUCACUUUAUUAGGUACACCUGUUCAACUGCUUGUCGAAGCAAUUAUCUAAUCAGGUAAUCAUAUGUCAGCAGCACAGUGUAUAAAAUCAUGCAGAUACAGGUCUGGAGCUUUAGUUAAUCCAUCCAUCCAUCCAUCCAUUUUCUGUAACCGCUUAUCCUAUUCAGGAUCGCUGGGGGUCCGGAGCCUAUCCUGGGGGUUACGGGCACAAGGUGGAGAAUAACCCAGGACAGUUAAUGUUCACAUUAAACUCCGGAAUUUGGAAGAAAGGUGAUUUUAGUGACUUGGAACGUGGCAUGAUUGAUGGUGUCAGGUAACCAUGCCGAUUCAAGCUUUUCAAAACAUGACAGUAACUCACAUAAUCACUCGUUACAACCGAGGUAUGCAGAUGAGCAUCUCUGAAUGGACAGCAAGUCGAACCUUGCAGCAGAUGGGCUACAGGGUCAGCUAAGAACAGGAAACUUAGGCUACAGUGGGCACAGGCUCACCAAAACUGGACAAUGGAAGGUUGGAAAAACGUUGCCUGGUCAGACGAGUCUCAAUUUCUGCUGCGACAUUCAGACGAUAGGGUCAGAAUUUGGGGUAAACAACAUGAAAGCUUAGAUCCAUCCUGCCUUGUGUUAACAAUUUAGGCUGAUGAUGGUGUAUUAUUAAUAAUAAUAGAUGCUUUAUUGAUCCACAUGGGGAAAUUCUCUUCUCAGCUCCCCCCAUCUUGCUCUCCAGCAGAGCAAGCAUGGCCGUGAAAGGCAACCAUUGACUGGGGCAACCAGGGAGUUGGGGGUUAAUGGUCUUGCUCAAGGACCCUAAGAUACUGUACACCUAGGCUGGGCUUGAAUCAACAACCUUCUGAUCAUAGGCCCACUGAGCCACUCACUGGUGUGGGGGAUAUGUUCUCGUCACACUUUGGGACCCUUACUACCAACUGAUCAUCAUUUAAAUGCCAUAGCCUGCCUGAGUAGUGUUGCUGACUAUGUUCAUCCCUUUAUGACCACAGGGUACCCAAGCACCUUGUUGGAUCUAUGCCAUGAGGAUUAAGGCAGUUCUGAAGGGAAAAGGGAGUCCAAACCUUUACUAGCAAGGUGUACCUAAUAAAGUGGCUGACAUACUUUUAAAGACGUAUGACCAGGGAUGGACAUAACUGGUACGCAAGCACGCAUUCACCUUUAAAAGCGAUACGUGCGGCAAUCGAUUGUUGCAACAGCAUCAAUGCAACAUUUUCCAAAUUCCAGGUGCUGAAGUGUUGUCCCAACACCUUCUGCAGUGAGUCAUCGAGGGCUGAUUUUUGCUCAGAUCGCCUCUUCACAGGGGGCAUGUGGAACUCCAGCUUCAUGAACUUUCAACAUGACAGUGAGUCAUCGAGGGAGGUAGUGAGAGAGCAGUCAAAGAAACAAUUUUGGGAUGUAGCCUACGUGAAUUUAAAAUUUAAUUGCUGAAUCAGGUGUGUUUACAGGGGCGGCUGAUAGCUGAUUGGCCCCUGUAGUGCCUCCUCCUCUGUCACUCAACGAUUCAAAACAGAUCAUUGGAUAAUGAUAAGGUUGGCCCCUUUAUAUAAAUUAUGGAGCCUCUUAUGCAUCCUACCUUAAGAAACUCCUAGUAUUGCCCCAGGGCUGAAUGUACGUGGUACCAUCUUCCAUUUAGGAUCUCAGUUUCCUUGGUAAACCUGGCUAACAGCAGUCAGCUUCGUCUGACCACAGGGAAACGGCAUCUGAUUGGUGGAUGGAAUUUAACAUUUUGCUGUUUGGCGAAGUGGAUGAAUAAUAAAUGGAAUUUGACGCAGUGAUACUGUAAACAUCUCGAUUGAUUUCAACCACCCCCCCCCCAAAAAAAAACACCUCAGUGGACCAUACCAGCUCUAUAAGACAGUUUUGACCUUUUUCGAGGAGGAAGAUGUCAAAUAUAGUUUAUGCGCUCUUGCUUUCAUUCAAGCAUUUACAUUUUUUCAUUACCAUCAUUUUCCAAUUAACUCAGCAUGCCUGUAGGGUUUUGGAAAAGAAUUACAAAGAUGUCGUGAUGAGGUGAUGCGUGACGUGGCUGGUGAGCAGGGUCGCAGGGUGCUCUGACCGUAGGGAGUGACAAUCUGUCAGUCCUCUGCAGGAUGCAUGGAAUUAACAAGUUCCACACAGACGUGCCCUGCAUCUGCCUUGGGGCCAUAUGUGGCUUAGCAGGUUGGGAUGCUGUUCUCGUUGUUGGAAG